rnacentral:pre_miRNA from 8 species
UGCAGUGCCAUCAGGGCCUUCCUGAUGCCCUUCAUUCCACCGGAAUCUGUCGCUACAGAAACCAGAUUUCAGUGAAAUGAAGCCCGUCAGAGAGGCAGGUCA